rnacentral:rRNA from 1 species
AGCAGCCGCGGUAAUUCCAGCUCCAAUAGCGUAUAUUAAAGUUGUUGCAGUUAAAAAGCUCGUAGUUGAAUUUCGGGGUCAGUAGGUUGGUCAUGCCACUGGUAUGUACUGGUCUCACUGAUUCCUCCUUCCUGAUGAGCUGUAAUGCCAUUAAUUUGGUGUUGCGGGGAAUCUGGACUGUUACUUUGAAAAAAUUAGAGUGUUUAAAGCAGGCUUUUGCUAUGAAUACAUUAGCAUGGAAUAAUGAAAUAGGACGUUCGAUCCUAUUUUGUUGGUUUCUAGGAUUGACGUAAUGAUUAAUAGGGAUAGUUGGGGGCAUUAGUAUUCAAUUGUCAGAGGUGAAAUUCUUGGAUUUAUUGAAGACUAACUACUGCGAAAGCAUUUGCCAAGGAUGUUUUCAUUAAUCAAGAACGAAAGUUAGGGGAUCGAAGACGAUCAGAUACCGUCGUAGUCUUAACCAUAAACGAUGCCGACUAGGGAUUGGGCGAUGUUGUAUUGACUCGCUCAGCACCUUCAGAGAAACCAAAGUGUUUGGGUU